rnacentral:rRNA from 1 species
UACAGAGGGUGCAAGCGUUGUUCGGAAUUAUUGGGCGUAAAGGGCGCGUAGGCGGUGCUGUAAGUCUGUAGUGAAAUCUCUGGGCUCAACUCAGAGUCUGCUAUAGAAACUGCAGUGCUGGAGUGUGGGAGAGGUGAGUGGAAUUCCUGGUGUAACGGUGAAAUGUGUUGAUAUCAGGAGGAACACCUGCGGCGAAGGCGGGUUGCUGGGCUGACACUGACGCUGAUGUGCGAAAGCUAGGGGAGCGAACGGG